GUGUGUGUGUGUGUGUGUGUGCGCGCGCGCACAGGAGGCAGAGCCCUGCUGUCAGAAUGACAGAGGGACAUGGUUGGCAAAACCCUAUCUCAGUCUUGCUUUUACGGCAACUUAUCUCAUCCGAUACUUAAAGUCUGGGCAUUCCAUUUCUAGAGCUGGUGCCUUUCCAUAUUCAGUAAAGUGACCACAUUUCUGAAAUGAAAACCAGAGACAUUUCCAGUCUGCCGGUCAAUAUAUUAGUAACGUAAUUAAUUUAUAUUAAUAAUUAUUGAAUAUAUAUAAUAUUGGUGGAGUCCCUGUUUAAUCAUGAUGUCAUGAGAGUGUCAUUGGCAGGAGGGGGCUUCCCGUAGAUAACCCUCAUAUUAAAGCACAAACACAGCUGCUAAUGUUUGACAAAUAGAAACAUAAACUCAACGAUAUUCCCUUCACCUGACAACUGUAUCCAGUUUCAUGUAUUGAAUAACGUUGGAGAAAUAUUUGCCAUUGAGGCCCAGUAUAACUACUGUACACUACUGACUGGAGUGGAAUGAGGCUGGUAAGUAUCUGUUAUGACAAUUUAUUUAAAGGGUGCUCAACAGGAAUGAAACCAGCUUUAGAGUAGCCAUAAUCUCAGGUCAGUAGGUAAUGUGUUGUAGAUGCUUUCUUGGAAGCAUGGAAGCCAUCCUGUACACUGCAGAUUGUCGGACGUAUUCCUGACCUUAAUAACUUAAAUCAGAUUAAGGAUACACCUGACGCUAGGCAUUUUCCCCUCUUGUUUGAGAACUGCAAUGAUGUCUUUCCCACUCCAAAUUAACUUUGUCUACCUGUUUGCAUGUGUGUUUGUCUGUGCGUUUGCGUGUGUUUUGGGCAGGCUAAUAUAUGCAAGCAUGCCUCUUUAAACCUGUUAUGGGGAUUUAGCUAGCCUUAUUACCGGUGUGUUAGCAUAAAUUACCCACAUUAGUCCAGGCACAGCUGCCCAGUGACAUGCUAGCUCUGCGACCAGGUUAUUGGGUUGAGGGAGGAAGAAGAGGAGGAGGAGGCUUCCUACGCACUCACCACCCGCCUUCACCUGGCCCUACUUCUGGGGCUUCUGCGUCACAGGCACCUGGCCCAAUCCUGUACCUGAGGAAGCUAAUCUGCUCAUCAAAGCAGUUUAGCCCCUGAUCCCCUCAGGUGCCGGUUAAGUCCUUUAGGGGCAGAGGAAGAUUCCAGAGGCCGAUGAAGGCCAUCACACACCCCUCCAGAGGUCCAGGCCGGGUGCCGUGUCCUUUCUCCAAUGGAAUGUUGCUAGUUCGAUCCCGACUCCUCCUCACCAAGUGUCCUUGAGCAAGACACUGAACCCCCAACCGCACCCGAUGCGCAGGUUGGCAACUUCGAUAGUAGCCUCAGCCAUCGUGUAUGAAUGUGUAGAUGUCUGAGGCAUUAAUGUAUAAAGCGUAAAAUGUAUUGAGUGCUUCAUGAGUAGAAACGCGCUAUAUAAAUGCAGUACGUUUACCAUUUACUUUCUCCACCUCACCAGUGCGCUAUCUGAGAUUCCUGGCGGAGGUACAAUUUCAAACUGGACAGUCGAGCUGUCUUUUUAAUAUAGACAGCCCAGAUAUGAAAUGUGACAACAGUCUGGAGUUAACACUGGUGAAACAGUGGCGAAGUAUACGCCAUAGAAGGGUACCCUUCAGCGACUGAACAAUUUCAACACAAAUCAGUGUCUGUGCUCCUCUACGCAACACACAAGGACACAUGCUGAAGGCAUAAAGCCCUCCUCUGAUAAAGUGUGGUGACACCUGUCUAAAAACUGCAUAAAACUGCUUUCAAGCAUCUAAUCAUCUGCAUGACUGAAGGUUCUUUACGCAGAUGCUAGGAGGUAGUGAAGUGUGUGGUGAGGUUGGUUCUGUAGGUAGGGGCUAGGAGGUAGGGAAGUGUUUGGAGAAGUUGGUUCUGUAGGUAGGGGCUAGGGAAUUAUCUAGUGAGGUUGGUUCUGUAGGUAGAGGCUAGGGACGUAUGUGGUGAGGUUGGUUCUGUAGGUAGGUACUAGGAGGUAGGGAAGUGUGUGGAGAGGUUUGGUAGGUUAAGGGGAUUCAGAUGAAAUAAAAUGUUUGUUCGACAGCUUGAGAAAGUGUACAGCAGUCAGGCAGUUGUUUGUCCUACUGCGGUUCUGCGAUUGGAAUCCUCUCUGGGAGAUCUCCUUCGGGUCUGCAUCAUCCCAUCAGGUAAAGCUGCCCCCUGCUGCGUGUCUUACUGGCGCGAACAUCUCCUGCAACUCACCUGUCCUCAAUCCGCUCAUGGGUCACAUGCGCACGCCCAUUCUCUUCCUCUCACCCACUUAAUCUUCCACUUUAUCUUUUAAUCUGUUUGUUUCUCCUUCGUUUCUCCUGCUCGUUCUCCUCUUUUCCGAGCUUGGUCUCUUGACUUUCUUUGGUCAUUUACAUUUACAGAAAGCGGGUUAUUGCAUUCAAAUCUUCCAGUGUGUUUGUGAUGCAGACACCGUGUAAAACAGCUUUACCCCGAGAGAUGUUCCUCUAGCAGCAGUCGAAACCACCAACAUAACAAAGAGGCAGCACAGGCAUCAGAAUCGCUUUUCAUCUUGUUUUUUUUUUAUCUUACACACUGGAGCAGCUACAUGGUUGUCCCAACCCAAAACACUGGCAGUAUUGUUGAUACCCACAUCAUAAUUUACAUUAAGAUUUACCCCUCAAAAUUACAGAGACGCAAAAACCAAAAUGUCACACAAAAGAA